UUAGACGGUAGGGUAUUGGCCUACCGUGGCUAUGACGGGUAACGGGGAAUUAGGGUUCGAUUCCGGAGAGGGAGCCUGAGAAACGGCUACCACAUCUAAGGAAGGCAGCAGGCGCGCAAAUUACCCAAUCCUAAUACAGGGAGGUAGUGACAAGAAAUAACAAUACAGAACCUCACGGUUUUGUAAUUGGAAUGAGUUAAGUAUAAACCCCUUAACGAGUAUCAAUUGGAGGGCAAGUCUGGUGCCAGCAGCCGCGGUAAUUCCAGCUCCAAUAGCGUAUAUUAAAGUUGUUGCAGUUAAAAAGCUCGUAGUUGAUUUUCUGUUA
rnacentral:rRNA from 1 species